GGGAUAGAGACUUGGACACUGCUCUGCCUGAAGAAAGCUGAAAGAAAUUGAAAGAUUGUCUUUAUUGUUUUGUGAACGUGCUGGAUGCGCUAGUUUUGUUUUGUGUAAACUGGUGAAUAAAUCAACUGAGUCUCCAGUGCCAGCCCUGGUCACUUCCUUCUUCCUACUAUGAACUUUGUUACACUCUCUCUCUUCCCCUCUACCUCUAAACCUGUCCCUAUCCCUAGGUCCCGGGUUUUAGCACCAGUGUAACAAAGUUCGUCAUUCAAAUGACAGUUCUGCAACCAAUCAGAGAUGCUGGGAUUCCCUGAGAUGAGCCAGCAGGCAAAACUCCAACUCCUCUCAGCUCAAACGCAAGAAAACCAGACGGUCUCAGAUGGAGCACUGGUGGCAGGGAUGCAUAAAUACUGCUGAGCUAGCUUGGCAAUGCGAGGGAAAUUUGUCUGAUGGCAUCUCCACCAGUCUAAAGGGAGGAGGAACAGGCUCUGCUUCUGCUGCUGCUGCACCAGCAGCCCCUGAGAGUGUGUCCUGUUGAGCCUUUAUUAGUGGCACUAUCUCUUCAACUGCUCUGGAUAGAACCCGCUCCACCUUUUCUUUAUCCAUAUACUUGGUUCUAAACCGUGGAUCAAGAAGAGAUGCAAUGUCAAGCAUGUCAUCUGUGACCUGAUCGGAAUAUUUCUCAUUCAAAUAAGCUAGAAUGUUUCUCUUCACAUCCUUCGUCAGCUGAGUAUCACUCUCUUCCUCAGCAAGAAUGGAUGUGUUGAAGAGACUGAGCACUGGCUUAAGGUAGGAGACACUGACAUAUUGCUCUCCUGACAAGGCAUCUGUGAAGUCCUGGAGUGGGCUCAACACCUUGUUGACAGCCUCUAGGACAUCCACAUAUUGCCAUCUAAGGACCAAGUGCAUUGAUUUCUUGUCAGCUUUUAGAACCUGACUAAUGGCCCUCUCUUGCUCCAGUACUCUUAGAAUCAUCAUUUGAUGUGAUCCCCACCUUGUAGGCAUCUCAGUAGUGAGCACAUGCUUUGGAAGACCCAGAUCGUUCUGAACAAUGGCCAGGUCCCUCCUUUUCUUCCAAGAGUAUGAGAAGGCUGACACAAUUCUUUUGCAGACACCUACUGCACGUUGUAUGCGGUCAUCUUUCAUACCUCUCUCAGUAAAAAUGACAAAUAAUUAUAUAGUUCACUUUUCCUAAUGUUAAUUAAAACAUUGAUUUUACUUUAG
ensembl:lncRNA